UUAUCUUCUUUCUCUAGCAUUCCAAUUCCAUUCGACCCUCUCACCCUCUUCACCCCAUUUUUUUUUUCAGAUCCCACGCUGCCAGAUCGAAGAAGAAAGUCGUUGCCUCUCUUAAGAUUUGCAACUGCUCCUCAUCCGCCAGAAGAUGAAAGGCUCAUGGGUUUGAGUACCUUGGCGACGCAUACUGACGGUCACGGCAUGUGGCCGCGAGAGUAAAUAUUUAAUUUAUGUGUUUGCCAUCUAAUUUGCUGGCCCUUUUUGGGACUCAUGAUGUACUGAAAUGGUGUCUUGGAGUUAAAGAGUUUUCCGAUCA